rnacentral:rRNA from 1 species
CCUGAGAAACCCGAAAGAUCGAAAGGGGAGAUUCACCGUCAGCGACGUCGGCUUCUCGUCGGCUCGUCGCGCGCUCCCGCGGCCAUCCCUCGCCGGAUGCGUCGCGUGUCGUAGUCGCGCGGCGUCCUUCGCGCGCGCGCGCCCUCGAGCGCGCGCGUCCAUGCCCGACGGCGUAGGCGUGCACUUCUCCCCUAGUAGAACGUCGCGACCCGCUGAGCGCCGGUCUACGGCCCGGUGCGUCGCCUGUCCCGCCGUCCCUGGUGGCGUCGCGGGGCAGACGCCCGGUGCACCGUCCCGACCGGCUGCCCGGCGGUAUCACUCGCAAGGUACUCUGGCCGCAAGUGCGCGCGUUCGCGCGCGCACCGUGCGUCCCUCGAAAAAGGCUCGCCGCAAGCGCGGUCAGUGUUAACGCAAACCCGUGUCUGUACGGACGAACUACGCCGUCGCCGGGGCUGACCCGCUGUUCGCCGCGCGAUGUCCUCGGACAGGCAUGUGUAGUACCGGUCGGCGACGCUAUUGCUUCGGGUACUUUCAGG